AUGGGUCCUUUUUUAGCAAAGGAGAUGUUUGAUGACGAUGGGAUCUGGGAGUGCGGGUACUACUAUGAUGACCGGUACAUCUCGUGCCAUGCUAGACCAUAUAUAUUGGAGAAGCUUGGUUUUGGUUUAGAUGACUUUGAGAAUGUGGAGACGAGGAGGGCUCACUUAAGAACUAAACAUGGUUAUGAAUUUCUGGUUAAGCUAUACAAUGCGGUCAAUCACUCACAUUUCAGUUGCUCUAAUUGGGAAGCUCUCUGCAAGGCAUAUGGAUUUGAGGAGGGAAUGCAAAUAAGAUUUGAUAUUCGUCCCCAAGAUUAUGAUGAUGAUGAUAAUAUCGACAUCUGGGUGGAUGUGGAUAUGCCUCCAGUUUUUACUAGAUCUUAUUUCUUAUCUUCAAGAAAUACUCGGAAGGUUGUAGACAACACAUACUACAACUAUGACUCCAAGCUUAAUUGUGAGGAGAAAGGUUAUCUUGUCUCAUUCAUAGAAGAUGUUGAGGCCUUUAAAACCAAUCACACUAUCAGCCCAAAUUAUACUAGAUACGUGCCACUAGUCCAUAAAUUGCUUAAUGGUAACUUCAUUGCCAAAAACUUGAGGCUCCCGAAGGAGGUUCUGCCUGACUUGAUGUUUAUCGAAGGUGAUAUGCAUUUGGUUAGCUUACGACUAACUCCUUCGAAGGCUUACCACAGUGCAUACCCGAUUUCUUCAAACGAUGGAAUGCUCAAAAUCAAAGAAUGGAGCAAAGUGAUAAAUACGCACACGCAACUAAUUGGAGACAAAAUGAAUGUGCGCAAACCACAAGUUGGAGAUAGGUUUAUCUCCAUUCUCCAUUAUGGAGAUGGACCGGUUUAUCUAUCUUAUGUUCCCCUUCCCGGUCCAAGGAGAGCAACUUCGAGAAGGAGGCGGCGAGGGCGAGCAGGGAGCGGAAGAGAUGGAGAACGGCAGCAGCAAAGGCGACGUCCCGGAGGACGCCAACGCUCAUUGCCCUGGAACACAGUCUGAUGAGGCGGGGAAGGCCGAUUCCUGCGCCGGAUGCCCUAACCAGCAGAUUUGCGCCACCGCCCCCAAGGGCCCCGAUCCUGACUUGGUUGCUAUUGCUGAGCGGAUGGCUACUGUGAAACACAAGAUACUGGUUUUGUCAGGAAAGGGAGGUGUUGGAAAGAGCACAUUUUCAGCCCAGCUCUCAUUUGCCCUAGCUGAAAUGGACCAUCAGGUUGGCCUUCUCGACAUAGACAUAUGUGGCCCUAGCAUCCCGAAAAUGUUAGGCGUUGAAGGCCAGGAUAUUCAUCAGAGCAACCUUGGGUGGUCACCGAUCUACGUUGAGUCCAACCUUGGUGUCAUGUCGAUUGGUUUUAUGCUGCCUAACCCAGAUGAUGCGGUCAUAUGGAGGGGUCCUCGCAAGAACAGAUUGAUCAAACAGUUCCUCAAGGAUGUUGACUGGGGUGAGAUUGACUACCUUGUAGUGGAUGCACCCCCUGGAACAUCAGACGAGCACAUCUCAAUCGUCCAGUACCUACAAGCCACCGAAGUUGAUGGCGCGAUAAUCGUGACGACCCCGCAGCAAGUCUCUCUAAUUGACGUGAGGAAGGAAAUCAAUUUCUGCAAGAAGGUGGGUGUGCCGGUGCUGGGCGUUGUGGAGAACAUGAGUGGCCUGAGGCAGGCGUUCACAGACCUCAAGUUCGUAAAGCCAGGUCCCGCAGGGGAGACGGAUGCCACGGAGUGGGCGAUGAACUACAUCAAGGAGAAGGCUCCGGAGCUUUUGUCGGUCGUGGCCUGCAGCGAGGUGUUUGACAGCAGCAAGGGUGGCGCAGAGAAGAUGUGCCAUGAGAUGGGGGUCCCUUUCCUCGGCAAGGUGCCGAUGGACCCGCAGCUGUGCAAGGCAGCUGAGGAAGGGAGGUCGUGCUUCGCCGAUCAGAGGUGCAGCGCCAGUGCGCCGGCUCUGAAAAGCAUCAUCGACAAGCUGAUCAAAACCAAGUAAGCAGACAGUGUUUGUGCCUGUUGGAGAAGUACCACUAGUCAAAAAUGUUACGAUGAUAUCUGGGGAGUCUCGUUGUACAAUUGCUUGUUACACGCCCGAGUGGCUUUCACUCUGUCCUUAGUUUCCUAAAGCCUUUUGGCUUGUGUAUCCGUUUUUUUUUCCAGAAAUAUUGAGCGUUAAUGCGAUAGAGGCUGAAAUUGCUGAAAUUACAGACUUCCGGCUUGCAGAUUUUAAUUGUUUUGGCUUUGGAAAUAA